UGUGUACCAUUCGUCAGCGUCUUUACGCCACGCCGGUCGUUCGUCGGCGUCUUUACAGUAAAGGUUGUCGUUCGUCGGCGUCUUUACAGUAAGGCUGUCGUUCGUCGGCGUCUUUACAGUAAAGGUUGUCGUUCGUCGGCGUCUUUACAGUAAGGCUGUCGUUCGUCGGCGUCUUUACAGUAAGGCUGUCGUUCGUCGGCGUCUUUACAGUAAAGGCUGUCGUUCGUCGGCGUCUUUACAGUAAGGUUGUCGUUCGUCGGCGUCUUUACAGUAAGGUUGUCGUUCGUCGGCGUCUUUACAGUAAGGCUGUCGUUCGUCGGCGUCUUUACAGUAAAGGCUGUCGUUCGUCGGCGUCUUUACAGUAAAGGUUGUCGUUCGUCGGCGUCUUUACAGUAAAGGUUGUCGUUCGUCGGCGUCUUUACAGUAAAGGUUGUCGUUCGUCGGCGUCUUUACAGUAAAGGUUGUCGUUCGUCGGCGUCUUUACAGUAAAGGUUGUCGUUCGUCGGCGUCUUUACAGUAAAGGUUGUCGUUCAUCGGCGUCUUUACAGUAAAGGUUGUCGUUCGUCAGUGUCUUUACAGGAAGCUGGACAUUUGUCAGCGUUUUUAACAUUGCGCUAAUCAUUUGUUAGUGUUUUUUUCAGAACAGUUAAUGUGCUACUUCAGAAUGUGUGAAAUCAUUCACUUUCUGUAGAAAUCUCUGGUGAAAUGCUAGAACAUACAAAAUGAACAGUGGUAGUCCAUAUCUGGCUUCAUAUGUAUGCAAAUUACACUGGAACUAUCUUGGAGCUAACAUAACACUGGUUAGCUGUUAGCACAAAACAGGUUUGCUUGUGCAAACAGACGUAGGCUGCCUUCAAAUCCUAUCGGAAAUCUCUUCCUGAGUGUGCAGAGAGCUCUGUGUCUCCGAACGCCGUGCAUGCACGAUACUGCUCAUCCUAAGCACACAGUAGCCCAAGAGCUCAACUAUACUGAAUAAAACAUUGAACACAAUAUAUUUUGUCACCAUGUUACACAUUUAAUACAUCUGUUACUAACAGACUCGUAGUAUACUUUUCCAGAUUAACAAAGUAAUAAUGGAACAAUUUAUCAAUUAUACAAAUAGUAGUUAGUUGCGGCACUGAUGAAAAUAAAUAAUUUGCAGGAAUGAUCGUGAUCGGAAGCUUUUUUUGGUCCGACUACACAACCGUUCGUUCUGGUCUACUAAUCUGACUGGACUAGAGGUGUUCCAAGAGUGCUGAUGUUUAGAACAACAGUCCUGCUACAGUACGUUUCACUGUUUGUCUGUGUUCACUACAUAAAAUUCCAGCUCUAGCAAUAGUUCACUGCAUUGAAACCGUUACUACACUUUCUAUGCGCUGUCAAUCAGUCUGUGUGGUGGCAUGGCAACGCCCAACACACUACCCCAGCUUUGGCUUCUUUGGGAAUUAUUUUGACGGAGCACAGAAAAACUAAAUAUUUGGCCAUAUUGUUAAUAUUAACUUGAAUUACUUGAUAUUAAUUUCUUGUUUAUAGAACUGUUGUAUAAAAGCAAUAUCACAAGACUCCAUUACUAAAGAAAAGG
ensembl:lncRNA